CUGGCGGCAUGCCUAAGAAUGCAAGUCGAACGAGGUGGCCCAGAAAUAUNUAAUGAAGUUUGAAGUGCUUGCACUGAUUUCCGAUUUAUUUGGCUCUGGAUUUUCCACCUAGUGGCGGACGGGUGAGUAACACGUGGGUGAUCUACCCUUAAGACUGGAAUACCUAUUGGAAACGAUAGUUAAUACCGGAUAACACAUUAAUUCGUUUUAAUGUUGAAAGGAGCCUUUAAAGCCCCGCUUUUGGAUGAGCCUGCGGUGUAUUAGUUAGUUGGUGGGGUAACGGCCUACCAAGACGACGAUGCAUAGCCGAACUGAGAGGUUGAUCGGCCACAUUGGGACUGAGACACGGCCCAAACUCCUACGGGAGACAGCAGUUAGGAAUAUUCGUCAAUGGGGGAAACCCUGAACGAGCAAUGCCGCGUGAACGAUGAAGGCCCUAUGGGUUGUAAAGUUCUGUUGUAUGGGAAGAACGACUAGAGUAGGAAAUGACUUUAGUGUGACGGGUACAUGCCAGAAAGCUCCGGCUAACUACGUGCCAGCAGCCGCGGUAAUACGUAGGGAGCGAGCGUUAUCCGGAUUUAUUGGGCGUA
rnacentral:rRNA from 1 species